rnacentral:rRNA from 1 species
CGCGUAGGCGGUUAUGCUAGUCAGGUGUGAAAUCCCCAGGCUUAACUUGGGAACUGCGCUUGAAACUGCAUAGCUUGAGGCCGGGAGAGGAAAGUGGAAUUCCUGGUGUAGCGGUGAAAUGCGUAGAUAUCAGGAGGAACACCGGUGGCGAAGGCGGCUUUCUGGACCGGUUCUGACGCUGAAGCGCGAAAGCGUGGGGAGCAAACGG